rnacentral:rRNA from 1 species
AAACUGGGAUUAGAUACCCCACUAUGCCCAGCCCUAAACUUUGAUAGCCCACUACACCCGCUAUCCGCCCGGGUACUACGAGCACUAGCUUAAAACCCAAAGGACUUGGCGGUGCUUUAGAUCCACCUAGAGGAGCCUGUUCUAGAACCGAUAACCCCCGUUAAACCUCACCCUCUCUUGUUCUUCCCGCCUAUAUACCGCCGUCGUCAGCUUACCCUAUGAAGGAGCCACAGUAAGCAGAACUAGUACAACUCAAAACGCCAGGUCGAGGUGUAGCAUAUGAGAGGGGAAGAAAUGGGCUACAUUCCCUACCACAGGGAAUACGAACAAUGUAAUGAAAUAUACAUUAGAAGGAGGAUUUAGCAGUAAGCAGAAAAUAGAGCGUUCCGCUGAAACCGGCCCUGAAGCGCGCACACACCGCCCGCCCGUCACCCUC